AGCACACCCUAAACACACACACACACACACACACACAUACACACAUGCAGGACAAGCCACACAUGCACAUGCACUCAUCAGCGACCACAGCACAACAGCAUCUCACAAUUAAAAACUUUAUUUGUGAAAUUAUGCUUCAUAUAAUUGUGAAUACUUUCCAUACAAAAAUGUAUCCAGAGCAAAGGUUAUGACAUUCAGAGCGAACUCUCUAAUAUCUCUAAGGUCGCGAUUGUUAGCUGGCUGCAUAGCUGGUCAAGUAUGAGGGCAACACGUGUUGCUGGUCAUCAGUUCCUUUGACUACAUUUAAGCACGCAGAGGCAGACUAACAAUCCUGUGACAUACAAAUAUGAUUGUGCUGAUGAACAGUGCUGACUUAAAGGGUAGUUCACUUUAAAGGGGCCACGUCAUAUACACUAUGUUUUAUUGUUUAUUUUUUACCCUGUGGUCCAUUUAUAAUGUUAGUUAAGGUUCUUGUGCCCAAAUUUUGUGUUUUUAGCCAUGUUUUUCAUGUUAAAAUUAAACAAGCUGUUUUAGUUGUUACCAAAUAUGAUCUUUAGCUAUUGAUGCAAUAAAUAGUUCUCUGGCACAUUGGGAUGCAUAUUUGCUGUUGGGGUUCAAUUUUUUUAAAAAAAGACCUAAUGCAGAAAUGAUCAAGGACCUUUGUAAAACUUAAACCAAAAAAAUCAAAAUCAUAAUUUACUUUAAUUGUUAGUUGUUCUGAGUUUACUCACCAGGACUGGGCAGAUCAAGUUACUGAACACUGAAUAGAUACAUUUAGUCAAUUUACUGAAUAGUCAAUGAUUAGUAAAUUUUUUUAGAUUAUAAUUACAACAGAAAUUAGGGACUUCAUAAUGAGCCAUUUUCGUAGCUUAGUAACAUUUUGUUGUUGUUGUUGUUUUGGGACUGGACAGGAUGUUUAGAGUUGAAAUUUACAAAUUAUGUACCGUGAUAACUUUAGUUUAAAAAAUGAUCAAGGAAAGUUCACUUUUACUAGUUACUCAUGAUAUGGCCCCUUUAAUUCAUGUCACUUCCUAAAAUAAACAGAGAAAAGAAGCAAGUGAUAUCUUUUCCCGAUUAAACAUUUCCCAAUUACACA